rnacentral:rRNA from 1 species
AAUGCCCGCAAGGGUGACCCAGCAACGCCGCGUGGAGGAUGAAUGCCGUAAGGUUGUAAACUCCUGUUAGAGGGGAAGAAUAAUUCCGAUUGCAUCGGAACUUGACUGUACCCUCAGAGAAAGCCCCGGCUAACUACGUGCCAGCAGCCGCGGUAAUACGUAGGGGGCAAGCGUUGUCCGGAUUUACUGGGUGUAAAGGGCGCGCAGGUGGGCUUGAUAGUUAGAGGUGAAAUCCUGUGGCUUAACUGCAGAACUGCCUUUAAUACUUCAAGUCUUGAGUGCGGAAGAGAGAGACGGAAUUCCAGGUGUAGUAGUGAAAUACGUAGAUAUCUGGAAGAACACCAGUUGCGAAGGCGGUCUCUUGGUCCGUAACUGACACUUAGGCGCGAAAGCGUGGGGAGCAAA